GAUGAACGCUGGCGGUAUGCUUAACACAUGCAAGUCGAACGGACUCUUCGGAGUUAGUGGCGGACGGGUGAGUAACGCGUGAGAAUCUGGCUUUGGGUUCGGGACAACCACUGGAAACGGUGGCUAAUACCGGAUGUGCCGAGAGGUAAAAGAGAAAUUGCCUGAAGAUGAGCUCGCGUCUGAUUAGCUAGUUGGUGAGGUAAAGGCUCACCAAGGCAGCGAUCAGUAGCUGGUCUGAGAGGAUGACCAGCCACACUGGGACUGAGACACGGCCCAGACUCCUACGGGAGGCAGCAGGGGGGAAUUGUCCGCAAUGGGCGAAAGCCUGACGGAGCAGUACCGCGUGAGGGAAGAAGGCUCUUGGGUUGUAAACCUCUUUUCUUAGGGAAGAACAAAAUGACGGUACCUAAGGAAUCAGCAUCGGCUAACUCCGUG
rnacentral:rRNA from 1 species